GUCGGUUCAUAUAAGUACGCCACCCUUCAACGCCCUUUCUUGCUGCAAAUAUUUGGGUUUUUAGGGUUCUUACAAUUUCUUGAUUUUGUAUUCAUUGAUUGAAGAAUCACGAUGUUUUUAUCCCAUCGGCAUCGAAGCCCAGGCUAUGGGGGACUUCUUGGUCAGGUGAUUGUUACAGGUUCUGCAUAAGGACUUGGUUCUUCUCUCAGGCCUGUCAUCAGUCACUUGCAAGUAGGUGUCUGUGAACAUGUCUGCUUUGGAAUAAAAGAAAUAAAAUUUGGGUUUUACUGACUCCUACUUGAGCAAAUAACAAAUACAUCACUCUCUAAAUACACCAGCUUUUGAUGUUUUUUUGCAUGGAAAGCAAGUGCAAAUGGAAAUCAUCUGGAGAGCUAACUUUUGGACCUUCAGAUUGCAGUACAAAAGUAUAUAGAAUUUCCGUGUGAUGACUCAAUCAUCCUGUGAAAAUAUGUGCUUGAGGUGGUGACAUCUGGCGGUUAACGGCUCAACAAUCAGUGGUUUUCAAGAAGCAAUUCAUCAUACCUCGAUCUAAUCAGAGGCUAGAGAAAUGCGUUGGUUUAGGGAGCAUGGCAGGAAGUGUUGCAGGUGUGUCUCAUUGCAUCCUGCUUUUUUUUGGACUGCUAUUGGAGUGCACUGCUAAUGAAUUCGUCUCUUUAUCAAUUAUUUUGAAGAGCGUCCGUCGAAGACUAGCGAAAGGCUCUUGACAAGGUGGUUCCCGCCGUCGUUGUUCUCCAGACCAAUGCUUGCCAAGCAUUUGACACUGAGUUUGCUGGUGCAUGUUAUGUUACGGGCUUCGUCGAUUUUCUCUAUGAUGCAUAUAUAAUAUACGGAGGAAGAAGCAAAGAGAAAGGAGGAACCCCGAUGAUAUAUAUCUCAAUAUACAGACAUCCUGUAGCCAUAACCUACGUUUGAAGUGCUUCCAAAAAUGGAUUGGACAAGGCAUGGAUACAAGAGUCAAAUGGCGCAGUCAAAUUAGUCGCCAAAUGAUUAAUCAAUCAACCACAAAUAGACUCGGCAUUGGUGACUGCAUAAAAGUGAUGCUCCUACAAGGCCUGCCUCAAGUAGCAUGUCCUCAGGUCAAUAUUGGCGAAGAAUGAUCUGGAGAGAAAUCAAGGUGUUUUUGUUGUAGAAUUGUGGACAGGCAAUGGGGUGUGCAUUGGACCCAUGUUGCUGGAAUUGCAGGACAAGCAAUCUAUGGUGCUCUCAGGUGGUUAUGAAGAUGAUGAGGAUCAUGGAGAAUGGUUUCUCUACAGAGGGAAGACAUCCUGUGGCCAUAACUUACGUUUGAAGUGCUUCCAAAAAUGGAUCGGACAAGGCAAGGAUACAAGAGUCGAAUGCCGCAGUCAAAUUAGUCGCCAAAAUGAUUAAUCAAUCAACCACAAAUAGACUCUGCACUGGUGACUGCAUAAAAAUGAUGCUUCUACAAGGCCUCAAGUAGCAUGUCCUCAGCUCACACUUGUCUAUGAGUUCAAGCGAGCCCAUUAUCUUUAUCGUAAAAAUUAAUUCUUGGAUCAACCUGUGUAUACAGGUGAAUCAAGAAGAUCACCCUGACAACCCGUUUAUUAGGGAAGGAGCAGCUAUAUAAAAGAGAUGGAAUGGAUAUUGCAUCAAGCGGGAGGAUAUUUGUGACACUGAGCCCAAUAUUUUAAGAGAAAAAAUUUGAUUCUUGGAUACACCGUGUAUACUGGUGAAUCAAGUAGAUCACCUUGAUAACUCGUUUAUGAAAGAGCUGGAACGGUUAAUGCAUCAAACUGGAGGAUAUUCCUGACCACCUCUUCGGAUCAUUUCGGGCCAAUAUUGACGGAGAAUGAUCUGGAGAGAAAUCAAGGUGUUUUUGUUGUAGAAUUGUGGACAGGCAAUGGGGUGUGCAUUGGACCCAUGUUGCUUGAGUUGCAGGACAAGCGAUCUAGGGUGCUCUCAGGUGGUUAUGAAGAUGAUGAGGAUCAUGGAGAAUGGUUUCUCUACAGAGGAAAGUACAUGUUAAUUAUCCCUUCAUAGAUGAAUUUUCAAUAUUUCUGGUUAGUUUUGAAGGUACUACUUCAUAUUCGAGGCAUGUACGUAUAGGCUGAUUGAUAAUAUUUUAUACUUGAGAGUUUUUCUUUAUCAGAUCUCUACAGAUAGUCAUUUAUAAAAAAUAAGAACAGUAAAGUAGAUCAUCUGCUACAACUUACAUACAAAAAAACAUGGAUUUAGUGUAAAAGUUCUUUACCCUAUAGUACAUACACAAGUUAAUUCCCUUUUGUAAGAAUUAAUGUUAAUUAGCACUAGAAUGGUUUGCUUCA